rnacentral:rRNA from 1 species
UUAAGUGACUAAGCGUACACGGUGGAUGCCUUGGCAGUCAGAGGCGAUGAAAGGCGUAAUAACUUGCGAUAAGCCCAGAUUAGGUAGUAAUAACCUUUUGAGUCUGGGAUUCCUGAAUGGGGAAACCCACUUACAUAAGUAAGUAUCCUGUUGUGAAUACAUAGCAACAGGAGGCAAACCGGGGGAACUGAAACAUCUAAGUACCCCGAGGAAGAGAAAUCAACCGAGAUUCCGAAAGUAGCGGCGAGCGAAAUUGGAUUAGCCCUUAAGCUUUUAAUGAUGCAGGUGAAGAGUCUGGAAAGUCUCGCARUAAAGGGUGAUAGCCCCGUAACCGACACAUCAUAAUCAGUGAAAACGAGUAGGGCGGGACACGUGAUAUCCUGUCUGAAUAUGGGGGGACCAUCCUCCAAGGCUAAAUACUACUGACUGACCGAUAGUGAACCAGUACCGUGAGGGAAAGGCGAAAAGAACCCCUGUGAGGGGAGUGAAAUAGAACCUGAAACCGUGUACGUACAAGCAGUAGGAGCACCUUCGUGGUGUGACUGCGUACCUUUUGUAUAAUGGGUCAGCGACUUAAUUUUAGUAGCAAGGUUAACCGUUUAGGGGAGCCGUAGGGAAACCGAGUCUUAACUGGGCGUACAGUUGCUAGGAUUAGACCCGAAACCAGGUGAUCUAGCCAUGGGCAGGUUGAAGGUUGAGUAACAUCAACUGGAGGACCGAACCGACUAAUGUUGAAAAAUUAGCGGAUGACUUGUGGCUAGGGGUGAAAGGCCAAUCAAACCUGGAGAUAGCUGGUUCUCCCCGAAAGCUAUUUAGGUAGCGCCUCGGACGAAUACUACUGGGGGUAGAGCACUGUUAAGGCUAGGGGGUCAUCCCGACUUACCAACCCUUUGCAAACUCCGAAUACCAGUAAGUACUAUCCGGGAGACACACGGCGGGUGCUAACGUCCGUCGUGGAGAGGGAAACAACCCAGACCGCCAGCUAAGGUCCCAAAGUAUAGCUAAGUGGGAAACGAUGUGGGAAGGCUCAGACAGCCAGGAUGUUGGCUUAGAAGCAGCCAUCAUUUAAAGAAAGCGUAAUAGCUCACUGGUCGAGUCGGCCUGCGCGGAAGAUGUAACGGGGCUAAGCUAUACACCGAAGCUGCGGCUACGUACCUUAGGGUAUGUGGGGUAGGGGAGCGUUCUGUAAGCCGUUGAAGGUGGUCUGUAAGGGCUGCUGGAGGUAUCAGAAGUGCGAAUGCUGACAUGAGUAACGAUAAAGGGAGUGAAAAACUCCCUCGCCGGAAGACCAAGGGUUCCUGUCCAACGUUAAUCGGGGCAGGGUAAGUCGACUCCUAAGGCGAGGCCGAAAGGCGUAGUCGAUGGGAAACRGGUUAAUAUUCCYGUACUUCUUACAAUUGCGAUGGGGGGACGGAGAAGGCUAGGUGGGCCUGGCGACGGUUGUCCAGGUUCAAGUACGUAGGCGGGUGGUUUAGGUAAAUCCGGACCGCUACUAACGCUGAGAUACGAUGUCGAGCUACUACGGUAGUGAAGUCAUUGAUGCCAUGCUUCCAGGAAAAGCCUCUAAGCUUCAGAUUGUAAGGAAUCGUACCCCAAACCGACACAGGUGGUCGGGUAGAGAAUACCAAGGCGCUUGAGAGAACUCGGGUGAAGGAACUAGGCAAAAUGGUACCGUAACUUCGGGAGAAGGUACGCUCUUAUCAGUGAAGUCCCUUGCGGAUGGAGCAGACGAGAGUCGCAGAUACCAGGUGGCUGCAACUGUUUAUUAAAAACACAGCACUGUGCAAAAUCGUAAGAUGACGUAUACGGUGUGACGCCUGCCCGGUGCCGGAAGGUUAAUUGAUGGGGUUAGACUUCGGUCGAAGCUCUUGAUCGAAGCCCCGGUAAACGGCGGCCGUAACUAUAACGGUCCUAAGGUAGCGAAAUUCCUUGUCGGGUAAGUUCCGACCUGCACGAAUGGCGUAAUGAUGGCCACGCUGUCUCCACCCGAGACUCAGUGAAAUUGAAAUCGCUG